rnacentral:misc_RNA from 1 species
GCCGAAACUAAGCCGCCGGAGAACGACCAACAAAUCACUCAUUCUCCUCCGAUGGCGUCCUCGUCGUGGUUGCAGGCCUUCCUCAACCCCCGGAAAAACUGGCUCGCCGCCAUCCACUGCCGCGCCGUAUCCAGCCGCCUCCGCCGCUACGGUUUGCGGUACGAUGAUCUGUAUGAUCCGAUGGAGGAUCUGGACAUCAAGGAGGCACUGGCGCGGCUACCCCGCGAGGCGGUGGACGCGAGGAACCAGCGGCUGAAGAGGGCCAUGGAUCUGUCGAUGAAGCAUGAGUACCUCUCCGAUGACCUGCAGAAACUGCAGACACCAUUUAGAAGUUAUCUUCAAGAUAUGUUGGCUCUUGUGAAGAAAGA